rnacentral:rRNA from 1 species
GACGAACGCUGGCGGCGUGCUUAACACAUGCAAGUCGAACGGUAAGGCCCCUUCGGGGGUACACGAGUGGCGAACGGGUGAGUAACACGUGAGUAACCUGCCCCAGACUCUGGGAUAGCAGUUGGAAACAGCUGCUAAUACCGGAUAUGAACCUCCUUCGCAUGUUGGGGGUUGGAAAGUUCCGGCGGUUUGGGAUGGACUCGCGGCCUAUCAGCUUGUUGGUGAGGUAGUGGCUCACCAAGGCGACGACGGGUAGCCGGCCUGAGAGGGCGACCGGCCACAUUGGGACUGAGAUACGGCCCAA